UCUGUUUCUUCCCUUUUAGCUUUUUUCCUCCAUUCUUGCUCUCUGAGGAGCCUAACAAAGAAAAUCAACGGGAGACUACUCCUUUUAGUCCUAGUCCCGAUCAAGGACAACGACGAGAGCGAGCUUAGGGUAACCAACAAUGGCGUCGCCGUCGUCUCCGAGUUCUUCAACUUUCCGCUCUUCGUCAUCCUCAGUUCCCCUCCGUUUCUCGUCGCUCCCUGUAAUGGCUUACCGCGAGAAAAUCAUGGAGAAAGUUACCGAGAAUCGCGUCACUUUGAUCGUCGGCGAGACUGGCUGCGGGAAGAGCUCACAAGUUCCACAGUUUCUAAUGGAUGCGAAUAUAAAGCCCGUUCUGUGCACACAGCCUAGGAGAUUUGCUGUUGUUGCUGUUGCUCAAACGGUUGCAAAGUCACGUAAUUGUGAAGUUGGAGGAGAGGUUGGAUAUCACAUUGGUCAUUCAAAAAACUUAUCAGCAAGCUCGGAUAUUGUCUUCAAAACUGCUGGAGUUCUGUUGGAGGAAAUGCGGGACAAGGGGUUGAAUGCACUUGACUAUAAGGUUAUUAUUCUCGAUGAAGUGCAUGAAAGAUCUGUUGAGUCUGAUCUUGUUCUUGUCUGUUUGAAGCAGUUUCUGAUGAAGAACAAGGACUUGAGGGUAGUGCUGAUGUCAGCAACUGCUGAUAUCGCAAGAUAUAAAGAUUACUUCAACGAUCUUGGUAGGGGUGAACGAGUAGAAGUGCUAGCUAUCCCUAACUCUUACCAGAAAACUGUUUAUGAUCGAAGGGUCUUUUAUCUUGAACAGGUAGCUGAAUUACUAGGACAAAGUUCAGAGUCAUCCUCUUUGAGUUUGAGAUAUUGUUCGGGUCAUUCUCCUUCCAUAGCUAAAGCUGAUAUCAAACCUGAAGUUCAUAAACUUAUUCAUGAUCUGGUGCUGCACAUUCAUGAGAAUGAACCAGACAUUGAAAAGAGCAUUUUGAUUUUUCUUCCAACAUACUAUUCCCUGGAGCAGCAAUGGUAUCUUCUGAAGCCACUUGGCUCAUCUUUUAAAGUACACAUUCUACAUAGUAGUGUUGACACUAAACAAGCUCUCGUGGCUAUGAAGAUUUGGAAAUCGCAUCGUAAGGUAAUACUGGCCACAAAUAUUGCAGAAUCAUCUGUGACAAUACCCAAGGUGGCCUUUGUCAUUGAUUCAUGCCGAUCUUUGCAAGUAUUUUGGGAUAAUAAUAGGAAAAAUGAAUCUGCAGAGCUCACAUGGGUUUCCAAGUCUCAGGCUGACCAGCGUAGAGGUAGAACUGGAAGAACUUGUGAUGGCCAGAUUUAUCGAUUGGUAACUGGAUCAUUUUUCAGCAUGUUUGAGGAUUAUGAGCCUCCCUCUAUACUAAGGCUGUCUUUGAGGCAGCAAGUGCUUCAAAUUUGCUGUGCCAAGUCUAAAGCAAUGAAUGACCCCAAGGUUUUGCUGCAGAGAGCUCUAGAUCCUCCACGCCCAGACAUUGUUGAAGAUGCAUUAAAUUUGCUAGUCCACAUGCGUACAUUAAAGAAAACAUCUCCAAGGGGUCGGUAUGAACCUACAUUUUAUGGACGAAUGCUGGCAAGCUUUUCUCUGUCUUUUGAUGCUUCUGUUUUAAUACUUAAGUUUGGACACAUUGGGAUGCUGAGGGAAGGCAUUCUUUUGGGUGUAUUGAUGGAUACACAACCCCUACCCAUUCUGCGUCCUUUCGGUGAUGAACUUUUGAGUACAGAGUAUAUGGACUGUUACUUUGCGGAAGAUAGUGGUAACACUGGCCUAACUGGUAAGAAGGAGAUACUACUCAUGGGAAACUUGUGUGCAUUUCAGUUUUGGCAACGUGUCUUCAAGGAUAAACUCCGUGUUGAGCAUUUGAAGCAAAUUUUACUAUUUGAUGCAACCAAAGCAUCCACUUCACUUUUUACCAAGCUUGAAGAAGAAUGGUGCUUUCUCCAUAAUCUUGUACAGUCAUCUCUGGAUCAUAUUUCUGAAAUAUAUGAAGAUGUACUAAACUCAGUCCACCUGUUUCGGCCCAAUUUUUUGGGUGGCUCCAAAGGCUUGCCUUGCUACUAUGAUCCGGAUGAGUUUAACCAUAGCUGCCUUCUCAUGAGUUGUCAUCAAAAGGUAGAUUCAGAUGCACUUGAGGUGAAUGAUGAGAACUCUACAAAAAAGUGUUUUGCGGUACCCUUUGUUAAUUCUAAUAACUUCAAGAAAAUUGACGUGGCCAAGGAGUUUGCAGCCAUUAUCAAAGAGAUAAAACUUCAGGGGACAGAAGAUAUGGCUGGUUAUCAGAUUACAAAUUCUCUUGACAAUGGUGAGCUGCCUAUGGGUUUAUCCUAUGUCAAUGGAGCCGGCUAUUGGGGCAAUCAAUGGUUAUUUUCUCAUUCACAGCAAGCAACUAGGCCUCCAUGCAAAUUUUUCUUUUCUCUCCAGGGUUGUCGAAAUGGAGAGUCAUGUUCUUUUUUGCAUGAUAGGGGUCUGCAAGCAUCGGCACACAGUCCAACUCUCUGCUUACCUGAAGAUGGUAACGCCGAAGCUGCACAUCUUCUUAGAUUGUUUCCUGCAGCAUCUUCAGAUAAAUAUAUUCUACUAUUGGAUGACACCGAUUUGUAUUUCUCUUCAAAAAUUGCUAGCCACUUCGGCCCAUCCAAAAUAUUUGCCACCACAUCUUUGUCUCAGACCUCCAUAUUUGAGUCAAACUUGGAAGAAGUCAAAGUUUUCUGGGGUCUGUAUCACCCGUUCCAAACCAUCAUUUCCAAAGAAGGUAAGAACCCAAUCCCUUGGAGUGAAGUUCAGUGUGUUCUAUGGUUUCCAAACCUUGGUAGCAGUAGCGAAAAUAUGGAACAAGACAAAGCAACCUUACAGAGCUUCUUUGAAUACUUGGCCAUUCGUAUACUAGCCGGUGCCUUAAAUGAAGUGCAAGUUAUCCUCACCAUGAAUAAUCUAAGAUUUUCACAGCUGCAGGUGGAAAAGUUGGGCAGAGAUUGUUUCUUCUUCCUUUCAGAGUCAUUUCGGUUUGAUGAAAGAAGCUUUGGAAAGCUGCCCGAUAAAGUCACUACUAAGAAACCAAUGGUGAAACCUAAGCCCAUUUCCUACGUUUUCAGGCUGAAACCUCCUUCGGUUGUUCAAUUUGGUGAUCAUGCAGCCAGACUUCACCAACUUCUAUACGAUGUUUAUAGAAGAGAUGCGGUCAAGUCCGAGGAGUGAGCUGGGAUGAAAAGGAAGAACAAUGGAUAUGAAACUUAAAAUAUGCCCUACAAUUGAAAUAGAGAAGUGCUAAGUGACCUAGCCUACGGAGGUAAUGGAUGAUGAAAGACCCAGCAAUGAUAUCUAAGGGUGACUUGGUGGAGGUAAUGGAUGCUUGUCGACUAGUCGGAGAAGCUUGCUAAAAGCAUGGCUUCUUCCUCUCCUUGUCAAUCACGGCAUUGAUUCCCAUCUAUUUGAUAUCGUAUGCUUUGGAUACCAACUGUAAUGUCUAACAAUUACAUACUUUGAACUCAUUGCAUUAAUGAGAGAGAUUUUAUAUAUAUAUAUAUAUUAUAUAUAUACACCUUAUUCUUCAAACAUUGACAUCAGAACUCUUAAAAGGUCUUGUGUAACAACAAUCCUGUUGACGCGGUUUUUCGUCAACAGGUAAUUAAGAAAUGAAGAGAAAGGGAUUAGUGCUAA